rnacentral:tmRNA from 1 species
GGGGGCGUUCUGGAUUCGACGCGGAUUACAAAACCUCUGGUGCAUGUCGAGAUGGUGGCGAAUCUCGUAAAAUCAAAGUCACAACUUUAUAGUUGCCAACGAAGACAACUACGCACUCGCUGCUUAAAACCCAGUAGGGUGCCGUCUGACUGGAGCCGUGCUUGUGCGUCCAGAGCCCUUUGGGGCGCUCAGGCGUCAUAUUACACAAGAUCGUGAAAAAGUUUGUUCGGGGCCGAUUCAUUAAACUUUUACCGAAAUCGCUCUUAGUGUUCCCUGACAGUCGGGUUACUAAGUGUUAAAUUUAAAGACUGAUCUAAACAUGUAGAGCCACUGGUAGCGGAUUGGCGGACGCGGGUUCAAUUCCCGCCGCCUCCACCA